rnacentral:rRNA from 1 species
UACGGAGGGUGCAAGCGUUGUCCGGAUUUAUUGGGUUUAAAGGGUGCGUAGGCGGUUAAUUAAGUCCGUGGUGAAAUCCUGGAGCUCAACUUCAGAACUGCCAUUGAUACUGGUUGACUUGAGUACAGACGAGGUUGGCGGAAUUGAUGGUGUAGCGGUGAAAUGCAUAGAUACCAUCAAGAACACCGAUUGCGAAGGCAGCUAACUAGGCUGUAACUGACGCUGAGGCACGAAAGUGUGGGGAUCAAACAGG